UGGGGAAUAUUGGACAAUGGGCGAAAGCCUGAUCCAGCCAUGCCGCGUGUGUGAAGAAGGUCUUCGGAUUGUAAAGCACUUUAAGUUGGGAGGAAGGGCAGUAAGCGAAUACCUUGCUGUUUUGACGUUACCGACAGAAUAAGCACCGGCUAACUCUGUGCCAGCAGUCGCGGUAAUACAGAGGGUGCAAGCGUUAAUCGGAAUUACUGGGCGUAAAGCGCGCGUAGGUGGUUCGUUAAGUUGAAUGUGAAAGCCCCGGGGUCAAACUGGGAGAAGCAACCAAAACAGGGGAGCUAGAGUGGGGCAGAGAGUGGUGGAAAUGCGUGUGUAGCGGUGAGAUGCGUAGAGAUAGGAGGGAAAACCAGUGGUGAGGGCGACCACAAGGGCUCAUACUCGCACUGAGGUGCGAAAGAGUGGGGAGAAAACAGG
rnacentral:rRNA from 1 species